CUCUGAUCCUGCAGAGCCCUCCCUAUCCCAUAACUGAGGGAGACUGACUACACUGUACAAAUGGAUAUCAGCAAACAAACCCGAUCCCCAAGGUUGAUUUCUACAAAGAUGGAGUACUCAUCAGGAAUGAGACCACAGGAGAGAUGACCAUCCCUGUAGUGUCCAAGUCAAAUGAAGGCUUCUAUAAGUGUAAAUCUAAUGAAGGAGAAUCACCAGAGAGCUAGAGAAAAUGGUCAUGAUCACAUGACCUUUUCAUAAUAUCAAAUCAAAGUUUAUUUGUCACGUGCGCCCCGAAUACAACAGGUGUAGUAGACCUUACAGUGAAAUGCUUACUUACAGGCUCUAACCAAUAGUGCAAAAAAAAGGUGUGUGUGUGUGUGAAGGUAAGUAAAGAAAUAGAACAACAGUAAAAAGACAUUUGAAAAUAAGAGUUGCAAGGCUAUAUACAGACACCGGUUAGUCAGGCUUAUUGAGGUAGUAUGUACAUGUAGGUAUGGUUAAAGUGACUAUGCAAUAUGAUGAAGAGUAGCAGUAGUGUAAAAAGAGGGGUUGGCAGGUGGUGGGACACAAUGCAUGAGGGUAAUAUCUGUGGUCAUAAGUAAUUUGUAGUGUUAAAAAGCAUAGGUUUGGAGUUGCAAGCUCAGGCUGGUCAUCUGAUCUCAAGUCAGUUGUCAAAUAUAUAUUCACUUUGUCCAAUACUUUAUUUAUUUUCUACAACUACCUCAGAACCUGAUAGUAAAUUUGCUGUUCUCUCUCCAGGUGUAACUCCUGGACCCUCUACAUCAGUCCUAGUAGGAGUGGUUGUGGGCCUGGUUGUUGCUGGUGUUCUACUGGCCAUUCUCCUGGUACUGCUGUGUCGAUAUAAAAAAGCCCAAGAUUCCUGUUGCAACAGAAUAUUCUGGCCCCACCAGCCCCAGAGGACCAACCUGGACCCCCAACAGGACCAAGGAUCUACCCAGGGCCAGGCUCCUGAUGCUGGGUAUAAUAAUCUGCAGCA